CCAUGAUCAAUUUCCAGAUAAAAAGCCCGCUGAGAAGUGAGCGCGAGGAAGAGAAGAAAAUGGAUCAGCGGCCUUCUUCUCCGUAAUGAACUGGUUCAGCCCCCUACAUGUGAAUCUCGUGCGAAUGUCUGGGUUUUGCAUUGUUUUCUGUUCUACGGCGAAAGUUUCGAACUUUUAAGGGUUGGUGUCUCUCUCAACGUUCGAACUUUUAAUCUGCGUAUCUGAUCACGACUGCAGUUGGCACGACAAGUGGAUGUUGUUUGAGCAAUACCGCUGGAGGAAAGCCAGGGCAAAGAUCCAGCCUUACGAAUUCAAGGUUGAAAUUUUUACGUUCCUGAAUCUCGUUUCACGGAUAUAUGCUAUAUGGCAUGCCUUGAUAUAUUUGCUUGGGCUGCUUUUGAAAAUCUUCCCGUGUUCUCCUUUGUUCCCAAUGGAAUAAGAUACCUAUAGAAGUCCGAGACGCGUACUAUUAAGUACGAAUGUCCUUUAUGUUUCCCAUAGAAGCCUCCUUAUCUCAUCUGCUUUGUGACAGAGAGUGGAAGUAGAACAAGAACUUGUAAACGGCAUGAGAAUCUGUCUGUACUUGUGUGGUGUUCUAUUCUUGUCCUGUUGGAUUGAGGUACUUGUAUUGGUUUAAGAUUAUACGUUUUUGUUUCUCUGGUUAAAGUAUCUUGUUUCAGUGGCAGACCAGUCUUUCUGACAAUUAGCAAGAGCGAACUACAUUGUGUUUCA